CCCGCCGCUUCUCCGCUCCGUCCCCCGCCGCUUCUCCGCUCCGCCGGAGCUCGGGCUCAGGCACAUUCUCCCGGAAAGGGCGCCGGCGCCGGCCCCGGAGGCGGCUCGAGGCGGGGAGUCCAGAGCCCUCCGGACCGAGGCAGGGACGGCCGGGGCCGCAGGCGGGAACGAGCCCCCAGAGUCCGGGAGAAGCCCCAGACAAGGAGACGAAGGAAGGAGGGCGUUCUUCGACCCGCGGCCGCAGCACCUCGAGGUGUGACUCCCCUCCCCCCCCCGCCCCCAAUCAAUAAACUCAAUCCCAAGGCUGACAGGGGCAGCUGAGGCCGGAGAGUGCGGGGGUGGGGGGGGCACAGGUGGCACUCACCGAAGUCUUCUUCCUCCAUGUUGACGCUUCGGCAGAAACGGGGGGUGCGGGGGAGGGGAGGAGGGGUCCGGAUCCCAAGAAGAGCCGGCUAGGUCCCGGCUACAGCUCGCGUCCCGCCGGCAGCGGCGGCCCGGGCUCUGGCUUCUGGACCCCGCCCCUCCUCCAAGGCGCCCGCCCGCCAGCCUGCCUGCCUGCUCGCUCGCUCGCUCCCGAAGACGGAUGGCACGCGAGCACGCGCGCCCUCUGCCUUCCCGUCUCCUCCUCCAACCCCGCCCUUCCCCUCUCUCGCCGGCGCGGGGCCUUCCUCUCUGAGGGCCGUCCCGCGGGCGGAGGAACGCGAGAAGGUUUCUCGGAGCUGGAGGUGAUGAGCGCCGGCGCUGUGAUGUCUCUUGACGUCAGGCUUAAAGGUUAGGUUUAUUCCGGCUUCCCCGAAGAGCUAAUUCUGACACGCGACGUUGCUCUGAGCCGGGGAAAGAAUGGCCUUGUUUGAACCGACUUAAGAGGGCUAAACUCGUGCCUUGCCCUCUAUUUGUCACGCCUCUCGGAGCAGAGGACGGAUCGAUUAUUUUAGUCUCACCAUAGGAGCCCCCUCUACUGUGGCAGACCGCAGCGCGGCUCCGGCUUAGUAACUAAGUCCUGGGGAGUUAGCCGAGAGAGAUGCUCACUCAAGCGCACACGGCUGGCACGGAUCACGGAGAAUCUGAACUCCCACCUCUCUGACUCCAACUCCGUCGCUGUACGAGCUGUUGCCGAUCCUUUCACAAACUACCUACACGCAGGAUACGGAAAUAAUUACCUGAGGGGAGGCACUAGAAUUAAGAGCGACUGGGAAAGAAAGGCAUCCUGUAAAAGAAGGGAGUCUCAGAAGUCAGGAGGUGGGGUUGGGCAAAGCGCUUUCAUGGGGCACAGCCAGAGAAAAUACCUUGAGUAGAGAAUGGAGUAUUUUGUUCCUGGCCCAGCAGAGAGCUCAGUGCCACUGGCUCAGAGUACUUGGUGGGGAGUCAGGUAUAAGAAACCUGGUAAGAUAGGAAGAGACCCUUAGUAGAGGCUUUGUAUUUGAACCUGGAGGUACUGGGGGAACUAUUCGGUUUUGAUCGGAUGAGGAGGGGUGUUGGAAUCCUAGUGUCAACUCGACUUGAAACAAGGUGAAAACUCAAGGGUGAUGUCAGAAUCCUGGUGUUAACUCCGUGCUUAUUGGUUCACACCUUAGAGAGAAUACUUACAAAGUGAUAAAUUGCUAAUACUGAUGGAAACAAUGCUUGUGUUCACACCUUUAGAGAGCUCAUAAGUAUCUAAGUACUCAAUGGAGUUCACACUUUUGGGAAAUUCAUAUCUCUUUUAGGGCCAGAGAGCACUCUGGGAGAUAACCCAGAAUCCCUCUCCCUCCAGAAGGCAAAGUUAACCUUUGGGAGAGGAGAUAUAUAUAUAUAUAUAUAUACAGGAAGCUCUUAGAGCUAGAGAGAGUUUUGAAUUGGGAGCAUUCCCGGGAGUCGGAGAGGAGCACUCUGCAAGAAAGUCUACAAGCCCUAUCUUCAAGGCAAGAGAGAGUCAUCGUAUCUUCUACCUUGGUGCUGGCUGGAGUCGGAAGAACAAACUUUUGGAUUUGGAGACAUUCGGCUGGAGCUCUUAGAACCAAGCGGAGAGAUAGGCCUCUGAGCUAAACGGGCUAUAUUGAAGGACACAAUAAAAGAUCUGAACUUUUUUAUUACCUGGCUGCGUUUUGGAAAAAGAAACACCAACAGAGGGGUGACAUGGUGAGACUUGUGCUUUGGGAAAUGGUGAAUGGAAGAUAAAUUGGAGUGGGGAGAUAAAAAGCAGGCAGCCCCACCAGCAGGCUAUUGCAAUAGCCAAGAGGAUAUAAGGGCCUAAACUAAAGGGGUUUCAAUGUCAGGGAAGAGAAGAAAGUACACUUGAGAGAUAUUGCAAAGGUGGAAUCAGCAUGCCUCAACAACAAUUUGAAUAUGGGAGGUGAGAGAUAGGAGUCAAAGAGGCCUGAGGGAUUAUGAAGACACUAUUCUACAGUAUUCUACAGUUUCUGAAGUAAUGGGGAAGAUAGGGAGAAGAGAGUUUAGAGAGAAAGAUAAGUUCACCUUGAGAUAUGUUGCGUUUCAUCAAAGUGAAGUAGCAGAAAAGAAGAGAAGAGGGCACAGAAUACAAUCUCAGCAGAGUCUUUCAGUGGUUAGAGACCGAGAAGAUGUGGUCAUAGAGGAAGAAUGAAAAACCAGGAGGAAGUGGGUCUUGAAAAACUAGAGAGAAAAGGAUAUCAAGAAAAAAAAGAAGUCAUCAACAUUGUCAAAAACUGAUGAGAUCAAGAAAGAUAAGGUUCAAGAAAAGACCAUUAGAUUUGACAUUUAAGAAGUUAUUGGUUAUUUCAGAGUCUGAUUCUUUUUGUACAGCGAAAUAACGUUUUGGUCAUGUAUACUUAUUGUGUAUCUAAUCUAUAUUUUAAUAUAUUUAACAUCUACUGGUCAUCCUGCCAUCUAGGGAGGGGGUGGGGGGGGUAAGAGGUGAAAAAUUGGAACAAGAGGUUUGGCAAUUGUUAAUGCUGUAAAGUUACCCAUGCAUAUAUCCUGUAAAUAAAAGGCUAUUAAAAAAAAGAAGAAGAAGAAGUUAUUGGUAACUUUGGAGAGAGUAGUUCUAGGAGAAUGAUAAAUUUAGAAGCUUGAUUAUAAGAGAUUAAGAAGAGAAAAAGUAGAGGCACCAAUUUUAGACAGGCUUUUCAAGGAGUUUAGCCACAAAGGGCAGAGGACAUAUAGGAUUAUAUUCAUUGGAAAUGGAAGGAUCAAAGACAGAUUGUUUAAGAAUAGGGAGACAAGUUUGUAGGCCGUAGAGUAGAAAUCAUUAGGGAGAAAUUGAACUUUCUUGGUGCUAGUUAUCAUACUUAUGCAUCAACAAACAUAUCUUUAAGUACCAACAUUUUUUAUUCACCUUGCUAGAUAUUAAACUAGAC
ensembl:lncRNA